rnacentral:misc_RNA from 1 species
CAACCAUCAAGCCCCGGGCUUGUGUUGGGGCACUGCGGCUGCCGCAGGCCCCCAAAAGCAGUGGCGGACUCGCUGUCACACCGAGCGCAGUAGCAUAUUUCGCUCAGGGCGUGGCGGCGGGCACCGGCCGUAAAACACCUACACCAAA